GAUGAACGCUGGCGGCGUGCCUAAUACAUGCAAGUCGAGCGAACAGAUAAGGAGCUUGCUCCUUUGACGUUAGCGGCGGACGGGUGAGUUACACGUGGAUAACCUACCUAUAAGACUGGGAUAACUUCGGGAAACCGGAGCUAAUACCGGAUAACAUAUUGAACCGCAUGGUUCAAUAGUGAAAGGCGGCUUUGCUGUCACUUAUAGAUGGAUUCGCGCCGUAUUAGCUAGUUGGUAAGGUAACGGCUUACCAAGGCAACGAUACGUAGCCGACCUGAGAGGGUGAUCGGCCACACUGGAACUGAGACACGGUCCAGACUCCUACGGGAGGCAGCAGUAGGGAAUCUUCCGCAAUGGGCGAAAGCCUGACGGAGCAACGCCGCGUGAGUGAUGAAGGUCUUCGGAUCGUAAAACUCUGUUAUCAGGGAAGAACAAAUGUGUAAGUAACUGUGCACAUCUUGACGGUACCUGAUCAGAAAGCCACGGCUAACUACGUG
rnacentral:rRNA from 1 species